GCUCCCAUGGCGUAGUGGUCACUGCGCUCGCGUUGCACGCGGGAGACCCGGGUUCGAUUCCCGGCGGGGUCA
rfam:Asian citrus Psyllid, Diaphorina citri - Florida Strain, whole genome shotgun sequence.